AUGACACUGAAGGAUCAUUGGGGUGUCCUAACCUCAGAUAAAGUGAGGCCUUAUGAAAUGAAGAUGAAGGAAUAUUUAAUCAAGUCACAGUCAGGGCCUCACAUACUUGGAACGAUAAAACCGGAAAAAGUCACGUGGCAAGAGGAUUCACAUUUCCAAGACAUCACUUCUGAGGGUGCUGAUGAUGUCAGAAAUUGCAAAGCACCAAGAAAGGGUUCUUUCUCUACCACGCACAGAAAGUGCUAGAGUUUUCUUCUUCUCCAUAGAUGACGAAUGCCUAAAGAGGUACGACACAACUUCUUCAGUCCCCUUUUGUAUAUUUUUCCCUUUUAAACCCUUACUGGACUUGAGUAAGGAGGAAAAAAUGCUG
rnacentral:lncRNA from 1 species